rnacentral:misc_RNA from 1 species
UGGCAUUAUUUAUCUGUUUUAAACAUGGCGACGGCGGCAUAACCUAACAAAAUAGCAUAGAAUUUUGUUUUGUCGUGUUAUCAUUUUAGAAAUAGCGAAAUAAAAUACCAAAAAGUGAUUAAACGAUAGUGAAUUGUGUUUAAAGUUAUUAAUCCGACAUGGCGGAUGCGGCUGCGAGGCAGUUGCAAUAUGAAUACAAGGCCAACUCAAAUUUGGUCUUGCAAGCCGAUGUGAGGCUUAUCGAGCGCCGUGGUCGCGAUGAGGCCACUGGCGAGGUCCUGUCCCUCUCGGGAAAGCUCACGGGGACGCGGAUGGGCGACCGAGCACAGCGUACCAAGCCUGACAAGACUGAAGAGAGAAAAGUCAAGCGUCAGAAAAGAGACGAAGCGUCAUACGAGCUCUCAAAAUCAAAAACAUCCCGGGUAGCCUGGGCUGAUGACACCCCGGGAGUUCUAUACCGACCACGAGCGCAACACACGAGGCACGCCUACGAAAUGCUGCUCACCUUCAUGCAGAGUGCCCUCGGAGACCAGCCCAGGGAUAUCCUGUGUGGAGCCUGCGAUGAGGUCCUCGUGGUGUUGAAGAAUGAUAAGUUGAAGGAUCCGGAAAAGAAGAAGGAAAUUGAGAUGCUGUUGGGGCCUGUUGCUGAUGAGAGAUUUGCUCUGCUCGUUAAUUUAGGUAAGAAGAUCACAGACUUCAACAUCAGCUCUUCGGCUGAAGGUAACACGGAGAUUGAUGAGACAUACGGCAUCAAUGUGCAGUUUGAGGAGUCUUCAGAGGAAGAUGAUGAGGACGCUUACGGAGAGGUCCGUGAAGAAGAUAAAGAAGAUGGAGAAGGUUCGGAGAAUGAGAAGGAGAAAGACAGCAGUGCUGAUGAGGACAGUGACGGAGAAGGCAAGAGAAAUGCUAUACAUACCAAUCUUUCAGAAGAGCAAUCACAGAAGCGUCGGGACGCCACCUUACAUCCCAUGGAUAUAGACGCCUACUGGCUCCAGCGUCGUCUCUCCCGGCACUUCCCCGAUGCCAUGCUGUCUCAGGCGAAAUCUUCAGAAGUCCUCACAGCAUUAGCUGAGGCAGCCGAUGACAGGGAUCUGGAGAACAGGCUGGUGUUGCUACUGGGCUAUGAUUGCUUCGAGUUUGUCAAGCUGCUGAAUAAAUAUAGAUAUACAGUACUCUACUGCACGAAGUUGGCGUCCUCUCAGUCGGAGAGCGAGCGAGCCUCCAUCAGGGAGGAGAUGUCGAAGCAGCCACAUUUGCAGAAGAUCCUCGCACAGUUGGAGACGGGGAAGGGAGAUGAUGAGACAGCCCAACAAUCAUCCGAAGCCCCACGCAAACGCCACAAGACGGAAGCCGAAGCCACAUCAGGCACGGGCCAGGUCUCAGGCAACAGGAAGGUGCUUCAGCUCGAGGAGUUGAUGUUCGCAGCCGGCGCCCACUUCAUGGCGAACAAGCGCUGCCAGCUGCCGCCAGGAUCCUUCAGGAAGCAGAGGAAAGGUUACGAAGAAGUGCACGUGCCGGCGCUGAAGCCCAAGCCCUUCGAUGAGGGAGAGACCCUGGUGCCGGUGGAGAAACUGCCCAAAUACGUGCAGCCAGCCUUCGAGGGGUUCAAGACUUUGAAUAGGAUACAGAGUCGCAUAUCAAAAGCAGCGCUAGAAUCUGACGAGAACCUCCUAGUCUGCGCUCCCACAGGGGCGGGUAAGACCAACGUCGCCCUCCUCUGUAUCCUGCGCGAAGUCGGCAAGCACGUCAACGACGACGGCACUGUCAACGUCAACGACUUCAAAAUGAUUUAUGUCGCUCCUAUGAGGUCGCUUGUGCAGGAAAUGGUGGGUAACUUCAGCAAGCGUCUAUCAGCGUACAACAUGAAAGUAUCGGAGCUAACAGGCGAUCAUCAGCUCACGAGAGAACAGAUUGAGGCCACACAGCUCAUCGUGUGUACGCCUGAGAAAUGGGAUAUUAUUACUAGGAAAGGUGGCGAGCGCUCAUUCACGAACUUAGUGCGUCUGAUCAUCAUUGAUGAAGUGCACCUGCUACACGACGAGAGAGGACCUGUCCUCGAGGCGCUGGUCGCCAGAACCCUCAGGACUGUGGAGCAGACGCAGGAAGAGGUUCGUCUAGUAGGUCUUUCGGCUACGUUACCCAACUACACAGAUGUGGCUGCGUUCCUGAGGGUCAAGCCCGAACAUGGACUGUUUUAUUUCGACAAUUCUUUCAGACCGGUAGCCUUAGAACAACAGUACAUCGGUGUGACAGAGAAGAAAGCGCUGAAAAGGUUCCAAGUUAUGAACGAUAUUGUCUAUGAGAAGACUAUGGAACAUGCUGGCAGGAAUCAGAUUCUAGUAUUCGUUCACUCUCGCAAAGAGACUGGUAAGACAGCGCGAGCGAUCCGCGAUAUGUGCUUAGAAAAGGAUACUUUAGGACAAUUCCUGAGGGAAGGCUCAGCCAGUAUGGAGGUACUCCGCACUGAAGCGGAACAGGUCAAGAACCCGGAACUUCGGGAACUGCUGCCGUACGGGUUCGCGAUCCACCACGCCGGCAUGAGCCGCGUCGACAGGACGCUCGUCGAGGAUCUGUUCGCAGACAGGCAUAUACAGGUGCUGGUAUCAACAGCAACCUUAGCGUGGGGUGUGAAUCUCCCGGCCCACACAGUAAUAGUGAAGGGCACGCAGGUGUACUCGGCGGAGCGCGGGCGCUGGGCCGAGCUGGGCGCGCUCGACGUGCUGCAGAUGCUCGGCCGCGCCGGCCGCCCGCAGUACGACACUAAGGGAGAGGGAAUCCUAAUAACGAACCACUCGGAGCUACAAUACUACUUGUCGCUAUUAAACCAGCAGCUACCGAUAGAAUCUCAGUUGGUCAGCAAACUGCCCGAUAUGUUGAAUGCUGAAAUUGUACUAGGCUCUGUGCAGAGCGUCAGGGAUGCUGUGACGUGGCUCGGCUACACCUACCUAUAUAUUCGGAUGCUUCGACAGCCGGCUCUAUACGGCAUAUCUCAGGAGAAGUUCCAAGAGGACUCGCUGUUAGAACUGCAUAGAGCUGAUCUCGUGCAUACUGCUGCCAGUCUACUUGACAAGGCCGGCCUAAUAAGAUACGAGAGGAAAUCGGGCCACUUUCAGCCGACUGAACUCGGUCGAAUCGCAUCCCAUUUCUACUGCACAUACGAAACUAUGCAGUGUUACGCUCAACUGCUGAAGCCGACGUUAGGCGAGAUCGAAUUGUUCAGAGUUUUCUCGCUGUCGGCUGAAUUUAAGCAUAUCGCUGUUAGGGAGGAGGAGAAAUUGGAGCUGUGUAAGCUUAUGGAGAGGGUACCAAUCCCCAUAAAAGAGAGCAUCGAGGAACCAUCAGCGAAGAUCAACGUCCUCCUCCAAGCGUACAUAUCGCAGCUGAAGCUGGAGGGCUUCGCGCUGAUGGCGGACAUGGUGUACGUCACGCAGUCCGCCUGCAGGCUGCUCAGGGCCAUCUUCGAGAUUGUGCUGCACAGAGGUUGGGCUCAACUGGUUGACAAAACUCUAGCGCUGUGCAAGAUGGUGGACAGACGCAUGUGGCAAUCUAUGUCGCCGCUCAGACAAUUCAGGAAAAUGCCGGAAGAGGUAAUAAAAAAACUCGAAAAGAAAAACUUCCCCUGGGAGAAACUGUACGAGCUAGGGCCCAACGAGAUUGGGGAGCUAGUGAGAGCCCCCAAAUUGGGGAAGAUGAUACACAAGUACGUGCAUCAGUUCCCCAAGUUGGAGUUGGCUACUCAUAUACAGCCGAUCACUAGGUCUACGUUAAGAGUUGAGCUGACUAUCACACCGGAUUUCCAUUGGGAUGAGAAGAUCCACGGCCAAUCAGAAGCCUUCUGGAUCCUCGUCGAGGACGUGGACUCGGAGGCGGUUCUUCAUCACGAGUACUUCCUCCUGAAACACAAAUACUGUCGCGACGAGCACCACGUCAAGUUGUUCGUGCCGGUGUUCGAGCCGCUGCCGCCUCAGUACUUCCUGAGGGUCGUGUCUGACAGAUGGAUAGCAGCCGAGACUCAGCUGCCCGUAUCGUUCCGUCACCUCAUCUUGCCGGAGAAGAAUCUGCCUCCUACUGAACUGUUGGACUUGCAGCCGCUGCCUAUAUCUGCUCUGAGGAAUCCGAAGUACGAGGAGUUGUAUAACGAGACCUUCCCGCAGUUUAAUCCGGUGCAGACUCAGGUGUUCAACGCCGUCUACAAUUCAGACGACAACGUAUUCGUCGGAGCCCCAUCCGGGUCCGGCAAGUCGGUCAUAGCGGAGCUAGCACUCCUGCGCAUGCUGUCGAGCGGCGGCGGCCGCGCGGUGUACGUGCUGCCCAAGGACGCGCUCGCAGACAUCGUGUUCGCCGACUGCUACCACAAGUUCAACGUCAAGUUCAAUGUCAAGGUUGUGCAACUGACUGGUGAAACGGCCACUGAUCACAAGCUGCUGAACAAAGGUCAAAUUAUCGUCACCACUGCUGAUAAAUGGGAUAUACUUUCUAGAAGAUGGAAAGUCCGCAAAAGCGUUCAAAGCGUGACUCUCUUCAUAGUGGACGCUUUACAACUGCUGGGCGGGGAAGAGGGACCCGUGUUGGAAGUCGUCUGUUCGCGUAUGAGAUAUAUAUCUUCGCAGAUCGGUCGUCAAAUCCGCAUAGUGGCCCUAUCACUCCCACUAGCGGAUGCCCGCGACGUGUCACAGUGGCUGGGCUGCAGUGCUAACUGUUCCUUCAACUUCCAUCCCAGCGUCAGGCCGCUGCCUCUGCAGCUGCAUAUACAGGGCUUCAACAUAUCCCACGCGGCCUCCCGUCUCGCGGCAAUGACGAAACCAAUCUACAACGCAGUCAUUAGGUACGCGGGCAACAAGCCCUGCGCCGUCUUCGUGCCGUCACGACGACACUCACGCCUGUUGGCCGCUGACCUACUGGCCCUGGCUGCUGCCCACGCCUCGCCUACUAGGUUCCUGAGGGCCAGGCCCGAUAUGCUGCAGCCGUUCUUGAAGAGGGUGCAUGAUAAGAUGUUACGCGAAACCCUGGCCGCUGGGGUAGCAUACCUCCACGAGGGCGUGGAAGCCGGCGACAGACGGCUCGUGCAGCAGCUCCUGGAGUCCGGCGCCAUACAGCUGUGCGUGGUGGCCGCUGAGCUGGCGUGGGCGCUGGCUGCACACGUCCACACUGUUAUAGUUGCUGACACACACGUUUACAACGGCAAACUCCACGCCUACGAACAAUACCCCAUCAGCACCGUCCUACAGAUGGUAGGCCGAGCCUGUCGACCCCUCGAAGACCAGCAAGCAGUCGCAGUCCUCAUGUGUGUGCAACACCACAAGACCUUCUUCACCAAGCUGCUGAACGACUGCCUGCCGCUAGAGAGCCACUUGGACCAUAGACUACACGACCACAUGAACGCGGAGAUCGUGACCAAAACCAUUGAGAACAAACAGGAUGCUGUAGACUAUCUCACUUGGACCUUCCUGUAUCGACGGUUGACGCAGAACCCUAAUUAUUAUAACUUGCAAGGCGUUACUCAUAGACAUCUAUCAGACCACCUAUCAGAGUUAGUCGAGACAACUCUAACCGACUUGGAGCAAUCAAAGUGUAUAGCAAUUGAAGACGAUAUGGACGUACAACCUCUCAACUUGGGCAUGAUUGCUUCGUAUUACUAUAUUAAUUAUACUACUAUAGAAUUAUUCAGUCUAUCUCUAACGAACAAGACUAAGAUCCGAGGCCUGUUGGAGAUCAUAUCCUCAGCUGCGGAGUACUCCGAGCUCUGCAUCAGGCAUCGAGAGGAGAACAUCAUUAAGGCUUUGGCUGGCAAAGUGCCACACAAACCAACAGCCCCAGCCGGUAACACAGUGAAAUACAACGAUCCUCACGUGAAAGCUCACGUGUUGCUGCAAGCUCAUCUGUCCCGCAUGCAGCUGCCCGCGGAGCUGCAGGCUGACACUGCGCUUGUUCUCGCUAAGGCCAUCCGCCUCAUCCAAGCCUGUGUCGACGUAGUCUCCAGCAGUGGAUGGCUAUCCCCCGCAGUAGCCGCUAUGGAGUUAGCGCAAAUGGUCACACAGGCCAUGUGGGCCAAGGACUCGUACCUCAGGCAGCUGCCGCACUUCACCACCGAGCUGGUGCAGAGGUGCUCUGAAAAGGGCGUAGAAACAGUGUUCGAUGUGAUGGAACUAGAAGACAACGCUCGCGCCAAACUCUUGCAACUUUCGCCCACAGAAAUGGCGGACGUCGCCCGCUUCUGUAACCGGUAUCCCAACGUUGAGUUGACAUACGAGGUGAAAAACGAGAGACAUCUGCGUGCAGGCAAGCCUAUUGUAGUGGAAGUGUCGCUAGAGAGAGAAGACGAUAUCGUUGGCCCGGUCAUAGCACCCUUCUUCCCGCAGAAACGCGAGGAAGGCUGGUGGGUGGUGAUCGGUGAUCCUAAGAGCAAUACCCUACUUUCCAUCAAGAGGGUAUCUUUGGCCAGGAGUGCUAAGGUGCGUCUCGACUUCGUAUGCGGCAGUUCCGGUCGUCAUACGUACACUCUCUACUUCAUGUCGGACGCCUACCUCGGAGCCGAUCAGGAGUACAAGUUCACCGCCGACGUCGCUGAAGCCGCUUCUGACUCCAGCGACUCCGAGUAGACACCGACUUCCGCGACUUCCAUUUUGUGGGGACACCGACUUCCGUUAUGUUUAGACACCGACUUCCACUUGGCCAAGUCACGGACUUUCACAUUGUAGACACCGACUUCCACGUUUGGGUUGUUAAUAUUUUACUGGGAAAAUAAAAAGAUGAUUUACAAAUCUAUUAUUUCAAUGUUUUCAAAUGAGUUUUAUUCCAAUUUGAGAUGUGAAUUUUGUCAUGCCCUGAAAAUGUUUUAGGUUGAAGAGAAGUUAGUCUUUAAAAUGUAAUAUGUGAAGUUUAUAGUAUAAGGUAAUUAAGGAAAAUAAAAGAAUUUGGAAUUCAA